ensembl:lncRNA
UCUUUAAUUUUAGGUAGUAUUCUGGUUUUGUAAAAAUUAACAGCAAUUUUAUCAUAUUUUUACCAAUGCUCAUAAUUUAUGAACUGUGCUUAUUGCAACAUUUAAAUUUAUUCAUUUUCCUUUAUUAAAUGCAAGUGUUGUUUUUCCUUCUGUUCCUGUCCUGUACUGCUACAGCCUUUGGCCAUUAGUAGCGUUUCCCUAUGACUUUCCACCAUCUCACCCACCGGAAGACUGACCUAGAUUACUGCUGAGUUUGGAAUGAGGAAGGAACUAAGCUUACAUAUUUCUGCUUUUUACUCUUCUAAUAGGGGUCUGUCCUAGCUGCAGAUAGCCUAUUUUCUGAAUUACUUUCAGCUAUGAAUACACUUGGUUGUAUAAGUCUAUGAUCUUCCAACCCUGCUGAUGAUUAAUUAGUUCACCAAUACUGCCUAAUUCUAGAGAAAUGAUACAACACACAAGACCAUAAAUACAAGCUCUCAGUAUUUUUGUUAACAAAGAUGUUGUUUUCGUGUUUAGCUACUUACAUUUGCACCGAUUUUCCAAUUAGAUCACACCAUUUGAGUGGGGAAGAAAAUAAAGAGGAACACAUAUACAUUUAAUAAACAUAAACGAAUACAUUUGGAUGUUCCUUGAAGAAUGGCCCCAGCCAACAACUGGACUGUCCUAAUUCCAAAAGCUAACAUAAUAAAUAUUUGCUGCUUGAAACCACUAAGUUUUGGGAUAAUUUAUUGCUCAGAAGUAGAUAACUAAUACACCCAGGUACUAAUGACUGACAAUGAGAAGCCAUCAGAUCUACAGACUUGCCCGGUUGAAGUGGUUAAAGCUGUGGCUUCUUCCUCCUGAAGUGGCCUGGCAGGACCAGCUAUCACAAGUCAGAAUUGUAGUGAUGAUAAUGAUUAUGCAGCCAACUUUGAUGGUGACAGGGAGGAGAACAGGAGGUUCAGUUAGCAAAUAUCUCACAGUUUGUUGCAAUCCCACUCCCACCCCCAAAAGAAAAAUCCCAAGAUGAGGGCAUUUCACUUGGACUGUCUCUAGGACAUCCCCAGGACAGAGCAGUCAGUUUGGUUUUUGAGACCUGUGGCCAGCUGGGAAAUGUGCCUCUGAUAUUUUCUCUCUUUCCUCAGCUGUCUCUUCCAUUGGCUGCCUCUUCCUUUCUUUGCCCCUGGUUUCAUUAGCAUUACAUUCCCCAAUAAAGCUUUAACUCAGCUUUUGCCUCCACUACUCUAUUUCAGGUAACCUCCCUGCAGCAAAUAUAUUACUUAAUUACACUUCUAAAAGUACAAGUUCGUGUGGAAAUCUACCAAAACCCAGUUUUAUUAACUUUAGAAUUGCUGAAAGUUAUAUGUAAGUUAUAUAUAAUAUAGUUAACUUAUUUUAGCCAUAAGAGAGCUCUAAGGAAUUUGACAAUUCAGAUUUCCCCCAAAUAUUUGGAAACAUAAUUGUGGAAACUUAGAGUUUCAUGGUACUGCUAAUAUAAGAAUACCAUGAGCUUUGAUAUAGUUAUUUUGAAAUAGAAGCAAUAUAGUCUGAAUCCUGAGGUUGGCCAUGAAAAAAAAAAAAA